AUUGAACGCUGGCGGCAGGCUUAACCCAUGCAAGUCGAGCGGGGUGAUGGUGCUUGCACUAUCACUUAGCGGCGGACGGGUGAGUAAUGCUUAGGAAUCUGCCUAUUAGUGGGGGACAACAUCUCGAAAGGGAUGCUAAUACCGCAUACGUCCUACGGGAGAAAGCAGGGGAUCACUUGUGACCUUGCGCUAAUAGAUGAGCCUAAGUCGGAUUAGCUAGUUGGUGGGGUAAAGGCCUACCAAGGCGACGAUCUGUAGCGGAUCUGAGAGGAUGAUCCGCCACACUGGGACUGAGACACGGCCCAGACUCCUACGGGAGGCAGCAGUGGGGAAUAUUGGACAAUGGGGGGAACCCUGAUCCAGCCAUGCCGCGUGUGUGAAGAAGGCCUUAUGGUUGUAAAGCACUUUAAGCGAGGAGGAGGCUCUUUUGGUUAAUACCCAAGAUGAGUGGACGUUACUCGCAGAAUAAGCACCGGCUAACUCUGUGCCAGCCGCCGCAGUAA
rnacentral:rRNA from 1 species